rnacentral:rRNA from 1 species
GUGAGGAAUAUUGGACAAUGGGCGCAAGCCUGAUCCAGCCAUGCCGCGUGCAGGAAGACGCAUCUAUGGUGUGUAAACUGCUUUUGUACGGGAAGAAACACUCCCUCGUGAGGGAGCUUGACGGUACCGUAAGAAUAAGGAUCGGCUAACUCCGUGCCAGCAGCCGCGGUAAUACGGAGGAUCCAAGCGUUAUCCGGAAUCAUUGGGUUUAAAGGGUCCGUAGGCGGUUUAAUAAGUCAGUGGUGAAAGCCCAUCGCUCAACGAUGGAACGGCCAUUGAUACUGUUAGACUUGAAUUCCAAGGAAGUAACUAGAAUAUGUAGUGUAGCGGUGAAAUGCUUAGAUAUUACAUGGAAUACCAAUUGCGAAGGCAGGUUACUACUUGUGGAUUGACGCUGAUGGACGAAAGCGUGGGGAGCGAACAGGAUUAGAUACCCGAGUAGUCC